GGCCCGGCACCCCUACGGGGGGCAGCAGUGGGGAAUAUGGGGCAAUGGGCCGAAAGGCUGACCCAGCAACGCCGCGUGGUGGAUGAAGCCCUUCGGGGUGGUAAACACCUUUUUUGGGGGAAGAUAAUGACGGUACCCCAGGAAUAAGGGACGGCUAAAUACGUGCCAGCAGCCGCGGUAAUACGUAGGUCCCGAACGUUGCGCGAAAUUACUGGGCGUAAAGGGUCCGUAGGCGGUCUGGUAAGUGGAAGGUGAAAUCCUACGGCUCAACCGUAGAAUUGCCUUCCAAACUGCUGGACUUGAGGCAGGGAAAGGU
rnacentral:rRNA from 1 species